GCCAGACUCCUACGGGAGGCAGCAGUGGGGAAUAUUGGGCAAUGGGCGCAAGCCUGACCCAGCAACGCCGCGUGGAGGAAGAAGGCUUUCGGGUUGUAAACUUCUUUUGACAGGGAAGAGUAGAAGACGGUACCUCUUGAAUAAGCCACGGCUAACUACGUGCCAGCAGCCGCGGUAAUACGUAGGGGGCAAGCGUUAUCCGGAUUUACUGGGUGUAAAGGGGGCGCAGACGGCAACGCAAGCCAGGAGUGAAAGCCCGGGGCCCAACCCCGGGACUGCUCUUGGAACUGCGCGGCUGGAGUGCAGGAGGGGCAGGCGGAAUUCCUGGUGUAGCGGUGAAAUGCGUAGAUAUCAGGAGGAACACCGGUGGCGAAGGCGGCCUGCUGGACUGCGACUGACGUUGAGGCCCGAAAGCGUGGGGAGCAAACAGGAUUAGAUACCCGUGUAGG
rnacentral:rRNA from 1 species